rnacentral:rRNA from 1 species
GAUGAACGCUGGCGGCAUGCGUAAUACAUGCAAGUCGAGCGAAUGGAUUAAGAGCUUGCUCUUAUGAAGUUAGCGGCGGACGGGUGAGUAACACGUGGGUAACCUGCCCAUAAGACUGGGAUAACUCCGGGAAACCGGGGCUAAUACCGGAUAACAUUUUGAACCGCAUGGUUCGAAAUUGAAAGGCGGCUUCGGCUGUCACUUAUGGAUGGACCCGCGUCGCAUUAGCUAGUUGGUGAGGUAACGGCUCACCAAGGCAACGAUGCGUAGCCGACCUGAGAGGGUGAUCGGCCACACUGGGACUGCGACACGGCCCAGACUCCUACGGGAGGCAGCAGUAGGGAAUCUUCCGCAAUGGACGAAAGUCUGACGGAGCAACGCCGCGUGAGUGAUGAAGGCUUUCGGGUCGUAAAACUCUGUUGUUAGGGAAGAACAAGUGCUAGUUGAAUAAGCUGGCACCUUGGCGGUACCUAACCAGAAAGCCACGGCUAACUACGUGCCAGCCGCCGCCGUAA